rnacentral:tRNA from 1 species
GGGCCAAUGGCGUAAUUCGGCUAUCGCGCCCGGCUGGCAGCCGGGAGACUUCGGGUUCAAAUCCCGAUUGGUCCA